rnacentral:rRNA from 1 species
AGAGUUUGAUCAUGGCUCAGGAUGAACGCUAGCUACAGGCUUAACACAUGCAAGUCGAGGGGAAACGACACUCGAAAGCUUGCUUUUGAUGGGCGUCGACCGGCGCACGGGUGAGUAACGCGUAUCCAACCUGCCCACCACUUGGGGAUAACCUUGCGAAAGUAAGACUAAUACCCAAUGACGUCUCUAGAAGACAUCUGAAGGAGAUUAAAGAUUUAUCGGUGAUGGAUGGGGAUGCGUCUGAUUAGCUUGUUGGCGGGGUAACGGCCCACCAAGGCGACGAUCAGUAGGGGUUCUGGAGAGGAACGGUCCCCCANAUUGGAACUGAGACACGGUCCAAACUCCUAACGGGAGCA